CCUACGGGAGGCAGCAGUGGGGAAUAUUGCACAAUGGGCGAAAGCCUGAUGCAGCGACGCCGCGUGAGGGAUGACGGCCUUCGGGUUGUAAACCUCUUUCAGCAGGGAAGAAGCGAAAGUGACGGUACCUGCAGAAGAAGCGCCGGCUAACUACGUGCCAGCAGCCGCGGUAAUACGUAGGGCGCAAGCGUUGUCCGGAAUUAUUGGGCGUAAAGAGCUCGUAGGCGGCUUGUCACGUCGGGUGUGAAAACCCGGGGCUUAACCCCGGGUCUGCAUUCGAUACGGGCUAGCUAGAGUGUGGUAGGGGAGAUCGGAAUUCCUGGUGUAGCGGUGAAAUGCGCAGAUAUCAGGAGGAACACCGGUGGCGAAGGCGGAUCUCUGGGCCAUUACUGACGCUGAGGAGCGAAAGCGUGGGGAGCGAACAGGAUUAGAUACCCUGGUAGUCCACGCCGUAAACGGUGGGAACUAGGUGUUGGCGACAUUCCACGUCGUCGGUGCCGCAGCUAACGCAUUAAGUUCCCCGCCUGGGGAGUACGGCCGCAAGGCUAAAACUCAAAUGAAUUGACGG
rnacentral:rRNA from 1 species